rnacentral:misc_RNA from 1 species
GAUGAAGAACGUAGCGAAAUGCGAUAAGUAGUGUGAAUUGCAGAAUUCAGUGAAUCAUCGAAUCUUUGAACGCACAUUGCGCCCCCUGGUAUUCCGGGGGGCAUGCCUGUCCGAGCGUCAUUGCUGCCCUCAAGCCCGGCUUGUGUGUUGGGUCUCGUCCCCCUUCCCGGGGGGACGGGCCCGAAAGGCAGCGGCGGCACCGCGUCCGGUCCUCGAGCGUAUGGGGCUUUGUCACCCGCUCUGUAGGCCCGGCCGGCGCUUGCCGAUCAACCAAAACUUUUUUCCAGGUUGACCUCGGAUCAGGUAGGGAUACCCGCUGAACUUAAGCAUAUCAAUAAGCGGAGGA